ACCUCUGGUGAUCCACCCACCUCAGCGUCCCAAAGUACUGGGAUUACAGAUGUGAGCCACCAAGUUCAGCCAAUUGUUUGUCUUUUAACAUUGCACCAGAAAGCCCGAAGGGAAAGGAUGAGCAAUACAAAUUGCCUAGUUUUACUUCUAGCUGGUUGGUCUAGUUAAACAUUUGUAGGUAGACAGACCUGAAAAUAAGGUUUUAUGGUAUUUAUGAUUUUUUCUCUAUCUAUUCACUUAUUAUCUCCGAUAAAUGAGAAUUAUGGUCUUCAAUUAGGGAAGAUCAAAGGCAAAUCAGGAAAUAGUGAUUUAUUUAUUGUAAGAGUCAGGAGAGGGGUAGGGGUGGGGAAAAAAGCAAGAGUCAGGUAAGGACAUAGUACUGCUUUAGAUGUGUUCCGAAACAAUAUGGAACUCUAUUAAAUAAAUUUUUAUUAAUGACCUUUAGAAGUCAUACUUAAUUCACAUAUGAUACAGUAAAAUUAAGUUUGAAUAAAAUAGUUGGUUGAAAUCAAUUUAUAUUUGAUAUAUGUAUGGAGUGGGCUUUUCCUUUUAGAUGCUUACUGUUUUUGCUUAUAGUCAUCAUUUCACCGACGAUACCUUACAUGGAAUUUGAAAGGAGGCAAAUUCAGAUAUACUGGCAGAUGGGGAUUUAGUUCUUAAUUUCAAAUCCUUUUAGACACAGUUACUCAAAUUUCAGAAUGUUUUAUUGAAGAGUUGGUAGAAAAUUUUUGGAAAAAAAUGGGGCUUUUCAAAAAGUAAAGUUUAAAAGUAAAGUCUGCUUUUCAGGUAGACCAUUCUAUUAAUGAUCAAUAAAAGCCUAUGUUUAGAUAUAGUUUGUAUUAUUUUAUAUCUUUUCUGUAGUAUACAAAGUUACAGGGACUUGCCUUAAUUUCGGUGAUUCUCUAAUUUGUUUAUAAUGCUACUAAUUUAUUCAGAAUUAUGCUGCAUAAAAUAUGGUUGGUUUGUUUCAGAUGUAUAUCUAGAGCUUGAGCCCUGCACCUAAUAGGCUUAAAAAUUUAAAAUAUGCUGGAUAUGCUUAUGGAACAUCAGUAUUAAAUGAGUGAAGAAAUUGAAACCUACAGCGCAUCUAUAUGGAAAUUACAAUAGCGAAAACAAAAAGUAAAUAGUAGCUAAAAUUGGAACACGUUCAGAUUCCUAUCUUAUCUUGAAAAAAUAUGAAAGAAUAACAGAGAAACUAGUCUCCUGUACCCAGCUGCAGCGUUCCCCUGCUAAAGAACAACCUGACUUUAAAUUUCACCCACAAGUCGCCACUUUCCACUGUGUUUAGAAACUGUGGUCACAGGUGGUUGAUUCCUUUUUCAGAAGGCAAUUCAUUUAGAUUGGUAUCAGAAUCUUGUUUGGUUCAACCAGAAGGCUAUGCUAAUUGUUGGCUAUUUUCUUGGAGAGGGACAUCAAACCGUAAUCAGGAAUUGUAGGAGUUUAAGAGAAACGUGUGAUCAAAACAUUUCCAGUAGGAGUUCAAAUGAAGAAUUCAAUGUGCUAAAAUAAUGAAGUGAAUCUUCUCUCUCAUGGAAUUAUAUCCUAAUUAUGCCUGCCUAUGUAAGUUCAAACACACACACAAACAAACUACAUGUUUUGGAGAAUUGCAGUGAACAGAUAGUUUUUUUCCUUUUAGAAACAUUGGGCCACUUUAAAAGUCUGGUGACAGUAAACUUGCAAAUAUGAUUGUUUUAAUUUCCAAGUAAAAAAAGAAACUGUAAGUUUUUAAUGUUGUGAUUUAAAGCAAAAUAAGUGUAAUUUGUAAGAGAACUCUCAACGUCAAGAUCCUCUUGGCCAAAAAAUAAGACUACAAUCCCCAUCAUACCAAGAAUUCUUUGGUCCAGGUAAGAAACAAACUCAGAAUUCAGCAAGUACACUGUGAAAUUAUACAGUAUAGUAUAAUGAACAUACAGUAAAAUAAUGAAAUUUAAAUGCAUGACUUCUGUGAAAUUAUUUUAAAAGAAUUUUUAAACUAGUAGAAAAGCUUUUUUGCUGACAGUUCUGUUUUUGUACAACACAUUUGCAACACUUUCUACAGAAGUUUUUAGUUCCUUAGCAAUGUAAAACAUUUCUCACUAAGAAAAUGGAUUGCUUUGAUAAAGUAAAAAUUAGCAUUGAUAUCAAAUUUAUUAUUAUCCAAAGCUUAUCUCAAUUUAGCUAUUGCAAUAGAGCUUCCCCUUUAAAACCUGCAUCACCAUUACUAUUACUUUACAUUCUGAUCUUUAAUUCAUAUGAAGGGAUUUGUUACAGUUAGUCUGGGUCAGUGACUCAACCUCUCCAAGAGGAUGCAACACCGAAAUGGGCCUUGUACUUUCCUGGAUUCAUUUCAUGUUACUGAUUUUACCUGGGUGUAAUUCAGAAUACAAAUGUAGAAGUUGUAUAUAUCCAUAUCAGGGGUCCUUCAAUUAUAGGAAGAUGAGAUAGUGGGCUUAUACUUAGGUCUCUGUAUACAACCUUUUUUAUUUUUCCAAGUUAAAUUUCAGUCUUUAAAAUACACAGAAACAUACACAAAAUAGUGCAUAUGUAGUAUGAUUUCAUUUAUAUAGUGUACAUAAUAAGCAACACUAAUUGGUGGUAUCAGAAGUAAGGUUAGUAGUCCUAGAGAUGGGGGUGGGGUGAGGGCAGGGACAGGUAGUAAGUGCAAGGGACAUGGGGCCAGCUUCUGAGUUACUAUAACUUUCUUGAUUUCAAUGAUGUUUCAUAGGUGUAUUCUGUCUGCGAAAACUGAUCAGGCGAUCUCCUUAUGGUUUGCUCUGUUUUCUACAUGUAUAUUACAUUAAAAUGUUUUUAAAGGUGUGUGCAUUAGUAAACACGGAAUUUUGGUUCCUCAGCUUGGAUCUUGGACAUUACCCAAAUACAAGUUGGAGAGGCUGCUCAUGUGCACAUGUAUCUCACAGAUCUUGGAGUCUAACCCAUAGUAUAAAAUAAAGGAAACAGUAUUGAUGGAGGCAGGUAUUGCCAUUGCUUAACCCACAGCAUGAAUCUGAGCUCCUAGGCCCUACACUUGGACCAUCAGCCACCCAGCCAUAUUACAAUCUGUUAACAGAUGUGGAUGAGGACCAAGGAUCAGAAUCAGGAAGGGCCGGUGGUCAGUGAGGGAACUGGGAAGUAAAGCCAGCAAGCUAAGCAUUCUUUAUGAUCGACUGACCUCUAAAUAUGUACCUCCACCCAGCCUCCUUCCUGAAUAGUGGUUUUCAGCUUGGGCUCUGCAAUUAGGAAGAGUCAAUUCCUCUUUUAGCUUUGCCAUUCUGUAGCUGCGAGCCUUUGGCCAAGUUAUGUUAUCUCAUUAAGGCUGAGCUUCCUCAUUUGUAAGAAGACGUGUGAUCACACAGAGUUGUCGGCACUCUGUGGUAUAUAGGAAAGCUUUAAGAAGGGUAGUUACUAUCAAUAACCUGUGGUCUAUGGACAGUUCCACAGGUUUCUCGAUUUCAAGGGGUCCAAUUUUUACUUUGUCAUCUCUGCUCACUGUUAUGUGCCCAUUUGCUGGUAGCCUAGGAAUCAUUCUCCUUUUCUCCUGCCCUCUACCAAUCACCCCAUUGAUUAGCUUUCCAGUGUGUCAGUUUCUUUCAUCUCCAUGGCUUGACUCAAGCUGUCAGCCUUUCUAGCUUGUCUUACUUCAAAUGCCUUCCAGGUGCACAUCCCGCUCCAAAAGUUUCUUAUAAUGCAGACAGUGAUUUUUCUAAAAUGCAGGUUCAGCCAUGCCACACGCACACACCCUGCUUAAAAUUCUAUAAUGGUUUUCAUUUCCCUCAGGGUAACCUGAACUGCUUAACAUUUUAUACCACCUUAUAAGGCCUUACAUGGCCUGAUUUGCCGCCACUUUCCUCUCCAGCUUCAAAUCUUGUUUCUCUUUUUCAGUCUAUACUGCAAAAGGAUGUAACUUCAUUCAGUUUCUCCUCUUUCAAUUCAUGCAUGCUAUUCCUUCUGUUAGAAUAGUCCGCUGUGCCUCCCCCAUUGUUAUGAAAUGAACUGUGUGCCCCCAGAAUCCAUAUGUUGAAGUCUAAUCCACAGUACCUCAGAAUGUGACCAUAUUUAGAGACAGGGCCUUUAAAGAGUUAAUUAAGUGAAAAUAGGGCCUAAUCUAGAAUCCCGUACUGGUGUCCUUACCUGAAGAGGACAUUGGGACAGAGGGCAGACUGGCUGAGAACGCAGGGAGAAGACAGCCAUCUGUGCAACAACGAGAGAGGCCUCAGCAGAAAUCAGUGCC